rnacentral:rRNA from 1 species
UGGGGAAUAUUGCACAAUGGGCGAAAGCCUGAUGCAGCGACGCCGCGUGAGGGAUGACGGCCUUCGGGUUGUAAACCUCUUUCAGUAGGGACGAAGCGCAAGUGACGGUACCUGCAGAAGAAGCACCGGCUAACUACGUGCCAGCAGCCGCGGUAAUACGUAGGGUGCGAGCGUUGUCCGGAAUUACUGGGCGUAAAGAGCUCGUAGGCGGUUUGUCACGUCGUCUAUGAAAUCCUAGGGCUUAACCCUGGACGUGCAGGCGAUACGGGCUGACUUGAGUACUACAGGGGAGACUGGAAUUUCUGGUGUAGCGGUGGAAUGCACAGAUAUCAGGAAGAACACCGAUGGCGAAGGCAGGUCUCUGGGUAGUAACUGACGCUGAGGAGCGAAAGCAUGGGUAGCGAACAGG